AUCGACCAGCCGACCAACUGACCAACUUAAGCGGACAGUAGGCCAAAGCAACAAUUAUAAGCAACAGCCCAAAGGACCGCUGGCAACAGACACGGACGACUUGUGUAAAAGCGAUUAAUUGAGGCUAAGCAAUUGCAAAGUAUUUCUGUAUGAAAAUAGUCGAUAUUUGAAAAUCUUCUCUGAGAUUACGUCAAGAUUUCUUUCUAUACAUGAUUGAAUUGAUGGUCUAGCAAAAUUGCUGAUUAUUGCGGCUUAGCCCCUUCGUACAUUCUACAUGUCUGAGGAAUCGCUUCCAAUAGAGGCAGCAAUACAUAAGUCUAACUGGCUGCUGAAUUGAACUGGCAUGGAGUGGCGACUGUGUCAGCACUAUCAGUAGUCAUUCGUACGAGUAUCCGUGUCCGUGCAAACAUUCGCAUAAUUAUUGCACACGUACGUGUAUGUGUACGUUGACAUAUAUACAUACAUACAUAAACUUGUAUAUGCAUACAAAUGCGCGCACACUGUUCAAGUGUAUGGUUAUGUAUCUCAUAAGUAAACAUUUUGUAUUACUAGAAGCCCAUUUUUCUGUUUAUACCAACGAAAUUUAAUUGUUUGAGCCAUAUUUUUAAGGCAGCUUGAUUUAUUACGUUAUUUCCGUUCUUCUGUUAUUUUUUAUUAUUUUUUUUGUUUUCGUUUUGCCAUUUUCAAAAGUUAUUUCGGGAAUUUUUAAACCGUUCAUACAUUUGUACAUACUGUCACAUACAUACAUACAUACAUAGAAAUGUAUGUAUGCAAAUAAAUGUGCUGUGUGUUUUUAUUUAUAUUUUUUGCACCAAAACUCACUCACACGAAAUAUGAUUACCGCCUCUAUCUCCGACACAGUCCCCGUCACCGUCACUGUAGCUGUUGGAACAGCCGUCCUCCACGUUUCAGUUUCACGUUCAAAGAGGCUGUAUAUUUGUGCAGCUACAAUACAAAACCACCGCCGCGUACGUAUUUCACACUCGUCACUCGUUCGUUCACUCAUUCGCUCCGAAUGCCUUACGUCGAAGACUGUGACUGACGAAAGCAUUCAACAGCAACGCAGAGACGGCCAAGCAACGAAAGCGACUACGACAACGAUUCACAGUGGGUCCCUGAUGUCAGCACAGAAAGCAAACAAACGAAAAGAAGAGGAAGAGGAAGAAUUACCGAAAGCACGUGGAAAGUCGCCGUUGCCGAAAGGGUUGGUGCGUGACUACCAUUCGGGAGUGUGUAGGUUCGAAUAUCCGUGCGUGAAACAGCAAAACGAAAAAGUUUUUUUAAUAGUGGUCGCCCCUCGGCAUGCAAUGGCAAGCCUCCGGGUGUAUUUCUAUCAUGAAAAAGCUACUCAUAAAAAAAGCAUUUGCCGAUCGGAGUCGACUUAAAACUGCAGGUCCCUCCAUUUGUGGAACAACAUCAAGACGCACGCCACAAAUGGGAGCAGUCGCUUGGACACAUGGUGAAAAGAUGUUUAGAGGUUAGUACCUAGCAGGCCGUUAUUCGGCUCUGAGCGAUUUUGACAGAUAUGCCGACAUCAUUCGUUUUGUGUUUCACAAAAUUUAACUUUAACUUAGUGCUCCAAAGUUCCCUUCAAUCAUCUAUCAUCCUUGGCUCGGACAAACACCUAACAAAAGUGUACGCGCCAAUUAUUUAUUUAAUUUUAAGUGGAAAGAGGAAUACAUCGUGGUGGAAAGCAAAGAAAAAUACUGUAUUAUUGUCAUUCGCGGAACACACGGAACUUAAUUUGUAUUAUUUCGUUCACUUUAAAAAGCAAAAUAUUCACUGAUUGAUUCACAAGCAAGUAAUUUUGGAUCUAAAGUUUUAUUUUCUGUGCUGACUUUACUAAAAUAUCAAAUUCGCCACAAACAAAUUACGUAUUUCUGAUGGUUUUCUCAUAUGGAAUAUAAUAUUUAUACAAUAUAAUGGUGAAAUAAACUAACACUCUACAAGACUCUCAUCAUGCCCGUCCUAACGUAUGGCGCAGAAACUUGGACGAUGACAACAUCCGAUGAAGCGACGGUUGGAGUGUUCGAGAGAAAGAUUCUGCGUAAGAUUUUUGGACCUUUGCACGUUGGCAACGGCGAAUAUCGCAGACGAUGGAACGAUGAGCUGUAUGAGCUUUACGACGACAUAGACAUAGCGCAGCGAAUAAAGAUCCAGCGGCUUCGUUGGCUGGGUCAUGUCGUCCGAAUGGAUACAAACGCUCCGGCUUUGAAAGUAUUCGAUGCGGUACCAGCUGGUGGUAGUAGAGGAAGAGGAAGGCCUCCUCUGCGUUGGAAAGAUCAGGUGGAGAAGGACUUGGCUUCACUUGGUGUGUCCAAUUGGCGCCGGUUAGCACGAGAAAGAAACGACUGGCGCGCUUUGUUAAACUCGGCCAAAAUCGCGUAAGCGGUUAUCGCGCCAAUUAAGAAGAAGAAUGGUGAAAGGUGAACGGAAUUAACAACAUAAUAAUUUCUUAUCUGAAAAUCCUUUAGAGAGGAUAGUGCAAAGAAAGUCGUCACAGAAUCUGUGCUGUAAAGGAUUUGAUAAUUUUUCGUUUUAUCCUGAACGCAAUACGCAACGGUAGCACCAAGGAAAAAUCAGGGUUGUUGGUUCCAUAUGCUCUCGUACUUACUUUCCGCUUUUCGCUCCCACCGGAACAGUUUGGCAGUAGUAACUAAAUGAGAAAGAGUGUCACGUAGCAGUGGAUAUUGAGUCGCACUACCUAUGUGCACUUUCUCCAUAAAGACACACUGUGCAAAGUCGACAAUGACGACAACAACACUAAUGGUACAGAACGAACGCGCAAGAGGAAGCAACAAAUAUAAAAACAAAACAAAUUUGGUUGGGAAAAGAAUUUUUUUCGUUUUUUCUCGUAUAUUUUGUAUAUAAAUAGAUGAAUACACAUGUUUGUAUAAGUGUGUGUAUGUAUGUACAUAUACAUGCACUUGUAUUUAUAUGUAUUCAUAGGUAUGCACUUACAUAUGUAUGUAUUUUUCAUAUACAAUAUUUAUUAAAUACAAAUAUAUAUUAUUUAUUUAUAUAUGUCCAUACAUACAUCCUUUUUUUUAAUCAAUAAGUCGAGUACCGCCUUUAACGGCACGUGUACUGAACUAAAGUAAAAUAACAAUAAGCCAAAAAUACAAUAAUAAAAUUUAAAGUGUAUCAUAACAACAAUCAACCAAUAAAACCACAAUGAGCAGAAACACCUGAAUUCAGAGCUACCGAUAAAUAUUCACACCAAUUAUUUUGUCACAUUUUUGUAUGCUCAUACAAAUAUACAUACAUAUGUAUGUAUGUAUAUUAUAUAUUACUAGGCAUCAACCAUUUUCGUAAAAAACGCGCAAUGACGACGUCGCCAACAACGACAAGAAUUCACACAUAUGUACAUAUGUACAUAUACAUAUAUAUACAUACAUAUAUAUGUAUAUCUACGUCGGCAUUAUCUAGCCACUAGUUAGGUGAUCAUGCCGUUACCCGUCCUUCUCCAAGCUCGCAAUCAUCACCCAUAUCACAUACAUUUCACAUACACAUGCAUAAGCACUGAAGAAAAAACGCUAUACGUAUUGUCAUACGACACAACAUUCUCAUUCGUUACAGUAACUCCAUAGCAGCUGUUUUGUAUUUAUUUAUUUAUUAAUUUUUUUCGUAAAAGGAUGUUCUCAAGUGGUUUUCAAGAAGAGAGCAAAAGCUUUAUUACGUACUACCUCAUCCAAAAGUUAUAUACAUAUGUACAUACAAACUCGUAUGCAUUAGCCGAUUGUGUUCUCAUGGUUUCGUAGAGAUACGAUACCUGUUGU